UCGUGUUUUGCAAUGUGUGGACUAUGUUUAUUAAGUGUCUGUUUUGCUGUAUAUUUUACGGAAAUACUACCAGGCCUCAAUCUCCUUCAGGCAACCAUCUGGUCACUCAAAAUGACCAGGCCAACUGGAAACGGUGGAGGUCCUGUUGCCUGGCAAGAUGUUGACAUAAAGUUGAAUUGGCCUGGAGACUACCUGACAACUGUGAAAGCCCUGCUGGCUGAUGAGAUGUGGUCAUAGACUCUUUUCAGU